rnacentral:rRNA from 1 species
GAUGAACGCUGGCGGCGUGCCUAAUACAUGCAAGUCGAGCGAACGGACGAGAAGCUUGCUUCUCUGAUGUUAGCGGCGGACGGGUGAGUAACACGUGGAUAACCUACCUAUAAGACUGGGAUAACUUCGGGAAACCGUAGCUAAUACCGGAUAAUAUUUUGAACCGCAUGGUUCAAAAGUGAAAGACGGUCUUGCUGUCACUUAUAGAUGGAUCCGCGCUGCAUUAGCUAGUUGGUAAGGUAACGGCUUACCAAGGCAACGAUGCAUAGCCGACCUGAGAGGGUGAUCGGCCACACUGGAGCUGAGACACGGUCCAGACUCCUACGGGAGGCAGCAGUAGGGAAUCUUCGGCAAUGGGCGAAAGCCUGACGGAGCAACGCCGCGUGAGUGAUGAAGGUCUUCGGAUCGUAAAACUCUGUUAUUAGGGAAGAACAUAUGUGUAAGUAACUGUGCACAUCUUGACGGUACCUAAUCAGAAAGCCACGGCUAACUACGUG